rnacentral:tRNA from 2 species
CUAUCGAACCGUUUUAGAAACAUCAGUGGCCAACGAUCGUCAGGAUUGUUGAGCUGCAUUGGCGGGAUUUCGCCGUCUUCGUUUCUCUUUCUUCGCGGACGAACACGCGCUGGGGCUGCAAGCUUGCAGAAUCCUUGGUCCUUGACUGGAUAUGCGUUAGGGGCUUGUAGCUCAGUUGGUUAGAGCGCGCGCUUGAUAAGCGUGAGGUCGGAAGUUCAAGUCUUCCCAGGCCCACCACACUCAUCGAGUGAGCAUUCGUCUUCUGGUUACGGGGCCAUAGCUCAGCUGGGAGAGCGCGUGCUUUGCAAGCAUGAGGUCGUCGGUUCGAUCCCGUCUGGCUCCACCAGAUGGUUUGAUCAUCGACUGAUCGUGCACCUAAAUCGUCCGCGAAACAUCACUUCGCACUUACUAGUCCGGAUGGACGGUGAGCUGCGUGAUUUCUGACAUCGUAAAGAGGAGAUCGAUCCGAGUUGGAUCGGGCAACAAGCAAUUGUUGCGCGAUACUUCAUUAUCUCCGGAUCAUUUCGGCGCUCGUGCGCCUUUCAAUGUAGCUCACAAGGCUGCGUCUGAGAGGAAUGCGAGUUGUAAAUGAUCCUUUUAGCGAAGCUUGACCGCCUCGCUAUCGGAACGAUCUUACGAAGCAAGCUGGUCUUUCUAAUCAUUGUCCGGCUGCAGAUAGCGUUCAUCGAGGGCGCGUGCCGCAAGGUAAUUCUGCAGACAACAUUCUGCCGAGUGUGUGGACAUUGAUAAUGAGAG